UGGAUUGAGAGAAACUUGAAACUCUGGAUAGAUCUAGGCUCCAGUGACCAACUGCCUCCAAAGACGAAGAUCAAGAUCACUUCCCCUGAAUAAUGCGCUGAGCUGGACUCCCCACCAUCAUGUUUCUGGGUGCUUGGGCACUGCUCCCCUAGAGCCUGGCUUUCUGGAGAGCAGGGCAUCCCAGCCUGAUUCAGCACCAGAACUUGUGGAACCAGCUGUGUCAGCAUCUGCAGACUGUAGUCCAGAGAUUCCAGGGAGUUUUACUGGUGUAUGACGAUGAAGUGUCAGACCAUGGGGGCAUGGCCUUGCUUCUCUUCCAGAUCCCGAGUUUCAAGAGAACUUCACAGCAGACAGCCUGCCGGGUUUUGGGUUCAGAGAUGGGCAGCUCUGGAUUGAGAUAAGUUGUGUGUGUGUGUAUGAAUGUAGCAGUGUGUGUGUGUGUGUGUAUGAAUGUAGCAGUCACUGUUGCUAACCUGGGCCUUUCCUUUACACUUCUGCUGACUCCCAUGGCCAUAUCUCCCCUCCGGUCCUCUCUGAAGCUGGGAAGGCAGGUCUAUCCACACAGGUGGCAGAGCACAGGACACAGAUGAGCAUCCCCUCAGACACCCCUCAGUCAGUGAUGAUAGAGGUGUAUACACACUCCAGCUCCCUCAUCUCUCAGAUGGAAUAACCCAGGGGCAUUUUUCUGUGUUCUCACCUGGGCUUGAAAUCUAUCCCCCUCAAGCAAUAGCUCCUUACUGAGGAGCCUUUCACUGUCUCUCUUCCCUGUGUCACUUUUCUCAUUUCCUCCCAAUGUUUCAAGUGGUUUAUAAAUAUGCUGCCUGACAGAAAUCCUUUGUGCUGGGCUACUCAACCUAAGACUACAGACAAAUUUUCAUCCAUGAAGCAUAUCCCUGGUGUGAAUUCUUGCCACUGUAACUGAGAAUCUUAUCCUUAAAAUUUGUUUUAAAGCUUUUGGUUUUCUUUCUUGUUUCUUCUUUCUUACUCCUAAAAAUGUAGCCUUGAAGCAUGCCCUAGGAGUUUCUUUUGUCCCUUUUCCCAUGAGACACUCCCUUGUACAAUACACAGUUAUCUAGCUAUAUGCUUGUUUAGAAAUUCCAGAGAUUAUCCUGAAACAAACCAGACAUAAAGACCCAGCCACGAAAUUCUUUCCCAUCUAGAGAUUAUUUCAAGGUUGUUAAUUUAUCACUCGACUGUGAUUAAGAUGGUGCCAGCCAACACCUCAGAUGGAAAAUAACCCAAUAGCGGAAGGAGACAUGCAGAUCUGCACCCUACACCCAUUCUGUAUGCUUGCCAUACUCAUUUGUCCUAUUUAAACCCCUACGUGUAGGAUGAAGUAGAGAUAGUUUCUUAGAGGCAUGAGUCUGGCCUUCUCAAUUGCUGGCAUUGCUACUUUGUUUCCACCACACCUUACCUCAUAUGUUUUUGACUUUUCAGGGGGCAAGGAGAAGAACCUGUGAGUAACACUUCAUUUUUGAUGCUUAAAAAUUAUCAGAAAAUUAAACAAAAAAAUUUCAUCUCUCUAAGCCAAUCUCAGAUUAGGUUUGCCAGUAAUUCUUUUUUUCCUAUGUCACAAAAUCAAAGUAGCCUCCACAAAUAUCUAAACACCAUGAAGUCCACAUUAGAGCAUCAGUAUAAGAACACUGAAUGAAAAUUUGCUAGACCUUAAAAUCUACAGAGCAGAGGGUCCCCAGGACUCAGGUUUCUUCCACCUCUCUUCCCUCAUAAGUCUGCCUUGUGAUAUUUUAUUCUGCUUUAGGGGAAGACAGUUGUGAUGAUGAGAGUCCUUAGUGGGAUGAACAAUGGCCCCCUCUAAAGACAUCCAUGUCAUAAUAUCCGGAGCCUAUGAAUGUUACUUUAAAUGUCAUAAGGAACUUGGUUGAUGUGACUUAGCUAAGAACUUUGCGGUCAGAGGAUUAUUCUGAAUGCUUGAGACCAUUUUAACCACAGGGGUCCUUAUAAUAGGGCAGGAGGAGUGUCCCAGUGAGAGAAGAGCUGGGACAGUGGAAAUGGAUGAUGGAGUGAUGGAAGAAGGAGCCAUGCAGCCAGAAACGUGGGGGUAUCUUAAAGAUGGAAAGCAGAGAAUUGAAUUAUCUCUCUCUGAGCAACCAGAAGGGAAACAGCCCUGCUGACUCCUUGACUUUAGUUCAGUGAAACUUCUUGCCUUCAGUAUUAUAAGAUAAUAAAAGCAGGUUAUGCGAAGCCAAUAAGGUCUUGGUGAUUUGUUAUAGCAACAAUAUGAAAUGAAGGCAAUGGGAAGGAACGUCUUUUAUCUCCCUGUGUAUGUAGCUAUCCUCUUUUCUUUCUCUCUUUUAUGCACUUCUGAGUAUCUUAGAAUAAAAAUGCUGUGUAAAAUAUGACUAAUCAGAUGUCAUCUGCAGCUGGAAAUUGCCAAUAAUUAAACUAGCCGAUACCUCUCUAUUCAAGAGGAGACCCCAAAAUCUCAGAAUUUAUGUAUUAAAAAAUGUGUAUUUAUUCUUA